rnacentral:misc_RNA from 1 species
CAGAAUUUCUCUCUUCAGUGGAAACAAUGUGUUUACUUCUAGAACAUGCUAUGGCAUAUGAAGGCACCGUGGAAUUGCAUUCCACUUCUUCAAAGGCAUUAAUUACAAUCGCAUCUUAUCUUCCAGAGAUGAUGGCAUCACAUUAUGGAUCUAGAAUUUCAUGGCUAAAGCAAUUAUUGAGUCAUGUAGACUUAGAUACACGUGAAUCUUCAGCACGCCUACUUGGCAUAGCUUGCUCUGCUCUUCCUAGUCCUGCAUCAUCAGAUCUUAUAUG